rnacentral:rRNA from 1 species
UGGGGAAUAUUGCACAAUGGGGGAAACCCUGAUGCAGCGACGCCGCGUGGAGGAAGAAGGUCUUCGGAUUGUAAACUCCUGUUGUUGAGGAAGAUAAUGACGGUACUCAACAAGGAAGUGACGGCUAACUACGUGCCAGCAGCCGCGGUAAAACGUAGGUCACAAGCGUUGUCCGGAAUUACUGGGUGUAAAGGGAGCGCAGGCGGGAAGACAAGUUGGAAGUGAAAUCUAUGGGCUCAACCCAUAAACUGCUUUCAAAACUGUUUUUCUUGAGUAGUGCAGAGGUAGGCGGAAUUCCCGGUGUAGCGGUGGAAUGCGUAGAUAUCGGGAGGAACACCAGUGGCGAAGGCGGCCUACUGGGCACCAACUGACGCUGAGGCUCGAAAGUGUGGGUAGCAAACAGGAUUAGAUACCCUGGUAGUCCACACCGUAAACGAUGAUUACUAGGUGUUGGAGGAUUGACCCCUUCAGUGCCGCAGUUAACACAAUAAGUAAUCCACCUGGGGAGUACGACCGCAAGGUUGAAACUCAAAGGAAUUGACGGGGGCCCGCACAAGCAGUGGAGUAUGUGGUUUAAUUCGACGCAACGCGAAGAACCUUACCAAGUCUUGACAUCCUGCGACGAUGCUGGAAACAGUAUUUUCCUUCGGGACACAGAGACAGGUGGUGCAUGGUUGUCGUCAGCUCGUGUCGUGAGAUGUUGGGUUAAGUCCCGCAACGAGCGCAACCCUUACUGUCAGUUACUACGCAAGAGGACUCUGGCAGGACUGCCGUUGACAAAACGGAGGAAGGUGGGGAUGACGUCAAAUCAUCAUGCCCUUUAUGACUUGGGCUACACACGUACUACAAUGGCGUUAAACAAAGAGAAGCAAGACCGCGAGGUGGAGCAAAACUCAGAAACAACGUCCCAGUUCGGACUGCAGGCUGCAACUCGCCUGCACGAAGUCGGAAUUGCUAGUAAUCGUGGAUCAGCAUGCCACGGUGAAUACGUUCCC